rnacentral:rRNA from 1 species
UACGGGAGGCAGCAGGGGGAAACAGACAAUGGGGGCAACCCGAUCCAGCCAGCCGCAAGUGCAAGAAGGCCGCGCGGAAAGAAAUUCAGUGAGGAGGAAAACCUGCGACGAAACCGAGGGCGACGACCACAGAAAAAGCACCGGCAACCCGGCCAGCAGCCGCGGUAAACGGAGGGGCAAGCGUAACGGAAUNACGGGCGAAAGCGCGCGUAGGUGGUUGAUAAGCGAGAAGGAAAGCCCCGGGCUAACCGGGAACGGCAUUCGAACGUCAGGCAGAGUAGGAGAGGGAGGGAAUUCCGGUAGCGGGAAAGCGAGAUAUAGGAAGGAACACCAGGGCGAAGGCGGCACCGGACCAAUACUGACAAUGAGGGCAAAAGCGCGGGAGCAAACAGGAUUAGAUACCCCGGUAGUCCACGCCGUAAACGAGUCUACUAGCCGUUGGGACUCGAAGUCUUAGGGCGCAGCAACGCAAUAAGUAGACCGCCUGGGGAGUACGGCCGCAAGGUUAAAACUCAAAUGAAUUGACGGGGGCCCGCACAAGCGGGGAGCAUGUGGUUUAAUUCGACGCAACGCGAAGAACCUUACCGGCCUGACAGCAGAGAACUUUCCAGAGAUGGAUGGUGCCUUCGGGAACUCUGACACAAGUGCUGCAUGGCUGUCACUGUGUGUGAGAUGUGGUAAGUCCCGUAACGAGCGCACCCCUAUCCUAGUUGUAGCAGUUCGGGAGAACUUAGGGAGACUCCGUGACAAACCGGAGGAAGGUGGGGAUGAGUCAGGUUUUGUAAAGACGGCCAGGGCUACACACGUGCUACAAUGGUGCGCACAGAGGGCUGCAAACCCGCGAGGGGGAGCCAAUCUCACAAAACGCAUCGUAGUCCGGAUCGCAGUCUGCAACUCGACUGCGUGAAGUCGGAAUCGCUAGUAAUCGUGAAUCAGAAUGUCACGGUGAAUACGUUCCCGGGCCUUGUACACACCGCCCGUCACACCAUGGGAGUGGAUUGCACCAGAAGUGGUUAGUCUAACCUUCGGGAGGACGAUCACCACGGUGUGGUUCAUGACUGGGGUGAAGUCGUAACAAGGUAACC